rnacentral:lncRNA from 1 species
UCGAUUAUGAUUACGGCAUCCCUUUUCAUAAUCUGAAUUAUGAGAACUUGGCAAAUUGAAAUGGAAAUAUUAUAGCAAAAGACUGGUUUAGUCUUUAUGUAAGACAUCAUGAAUCGUGUCCCAUAUGCUUCGGAUAUAGGAUCGAUUACAUGUGCUAUAUUCAUCCGUUCUAAAAUUUUCCAAAUGCCUGGGGCAUUAAGAAGGGAAAAGGUUUAGAACUGGAUAUGACUAAAAGGAUUAAACAAUUGUCGAGGACAAUCUAAGGUUUACCAAAGAUUGGUUACUCAAGGACAAUUGGAAGUAUAGUGAUAAUUCUGGAAGGACCAUAUUGACAUAGUCUGUAAGGAGGCAACUCUUGUUCAGAAGUGAUAGUCAAAAUGGAAUCUGGAAAUGUUUCAAAGUUAGAAAUUUCAAUCUGUGUAAGAUUAAGGAAACUUAAUGCAAGAAGGAUAUUUACAAGGAGUUGAUCUCCUUUGGAAUACUCUGUAAUGAUUGUUGCCAAGUCUUUGUGAGUUUGUUAGCAAGAAAGGGAUACAUGUGGAUCCCUCAAAGAUCAAAUCAAUCGAAACCUGGCUAACACCCGCAACGCCGACAGAAAUCCGACAAUUCUUAGGACUCGUUGGGUACUACCGAAGAUUCUGUUGGAUUAGUAUCUAAGUACGUAACUAUUUUGGUAUGUACUUGACCGAUGGUGCAUGGUCCUUUUGGGUUGCCUUCACCAAAGCAACUUGAUAGGAUGAAUUAUGGAGAGAAAGGAUUAAUUAUGAUUUAUUAAUAUAUUAAUAGAAUAAUAUAUUAAAGGAGAAAUUAUAUUGUUUAAUUAAUAUUAGUCAAGAAUUAAUAAGAAUUAAUUAUGUGGCUAAAAGACAUUAAUUAAAUGAAGGGGACUAGAACUGUCAAUUGUGUGAUAGUUGAAUAUUAGGCUAAUGGACUCCAUAGAGGAUGGAGUGGACGAAUUUUGUGGGGGAAACCCAUUAGAAAUCGUCCAAGGCCUCUAAGGAGGGAGUCCAUGGGUUGCUUAGCGCCUAAGCAUCCAAAUUAGGGUUUCCUUGUUAGAUAACCCUAAUAGCCUUACUAUUUAAGGACCCCUUGGGCACCAAAAAUGUGGGCAACUGAAUCCUUAGGGUUUCUACACGUUUUUGGGUGUCUCUUCUCUUCUCAUUCUUCAUCCUCUUUCUCUUGGUGUUUGUGAACCAUUAGAGGAGUGACAUUUGUGACUCUAAGCUUUCUAAAGUCAUUACAAGGAGGAUUUGUGAUUGUUAUUGCUACAUGACAAUCAAGGUAAUAUCUUAAACCCAUUGUUAUGUUAAUAUUGAUUAUCAUAUGCUAGAUCUAGGGUUUAAAGUCUUGGAUGAAUUGCAUGUACAAUAGAGAAACCUAGAUCCAAGCAUUAGGGUUUGCAUGAGCACAUAGGAUGUUAUUAUGGAUAAAACCCAUCAGUGGUAUCAGACCCUUGAUUGGUUUCUAUUCUAUGUGAUGCUAUGUUGAAUUAUUUACUGAAAAUCGAUUUUCUGGCCUCUGCCCGACCUGACUCGGCGACUUAGUGGAUGAACUCGGCGAGUGUGUCUGACUCGGCGAGUCCAGUCCCUCGGUGAGUCCAAGGGUCAAACAGAGGGAAUAUCAGGAUUUCUUGAUGUUUUGCUGAAGGAUUAAUACCAAAAACGUAUUUUGAUGAUAAAAUCUGAUUUUUAUUAUAUUUGGGUGAUUAUCCUUCAUAAAACAAAAGAUAAUUUCAAAUCUUUUGAAUAAUAGUUUCCUUAUAUGAUAAAUAUGGAUUAUUUAAUUUAUUUGGUAAUUAUCUUAUGAGAUUAGGUCAAAUAUAGAUAAUGACAAAAUUAGUUGUUUAAUUUCUAUUAUUUGUUAUUUGAUCUUUGUGUUGUGAAAAAGUUUCAAUUAUGCCCAUGUAAGUUUUAUGGUUUAAAUUUGAACUUAAGUUUUUGUUUUGAAAUUUAAAUAGUUAAAAUCCUAAUGUUUUGAAAUGUUUCAAAACUUCCCCUCAAGUUUUGGAAUUUAAAAGUUGAUUAAAAGUUUAAUUUAGAAAUGUUAAAUUCUAAAACCCUAGUAUAGUUUUGAAAUGUUCAAAUCACACCCCUAUGGUUUUAUUAAUUAAUUAAAUUGUAUAAUUAAAAGAGAUUUAAUAAAUCUAUAAAGUUUUGGUUUACAAUUUAAUUAAAUUAAAAGUAUAAUUAUUAAAUUUAACCACCUAAUAUUUUAAAAGGUGUAAAAUACACCCUAUACUAUAUAUAACAUUAAAAGUCUAACAUUAUAUAUAUAUAUAUAUAUANNNNNNNNNNNNNNNNNNNNNNNNNNNNNNNNNNNNNNNNNNNNNNNNNNNNNNNNNNNNNNNNNNNNNNNNNNNNNNNNNNNNNNNNNNNNNNNNNNNNNNNNNNNNNNNNNNNNNNNNNNNNNNNNNNNNNNNNNNNNNNNNNNNNNNNNNNNNNNNNNNNNNNNNNNNNNNNNNNNNNNNNNNNNNNNNNNNNNNNNNNNNNNNNNNNNNNNNNNNNNNNNNNNNNNNNNNNNNNNNNNNNNNNNNNNNNNNNNNNNNNNNNNNNNNNNNNNNNNNNNNNNNNNNNNNNNNNNNNNNNNNNNNNNNNNNNNNNNNNNNNNNNNNNNNNNNNNNNNNNNNNNNNNNNNNNNNNNNNNNNNNNNNNNNNNNNNNNNNNNNNNNNNNNNNNNNNNNNNNNNNNNNNNNNNNNNNNNNNCACACUAAAUGGUUCUAAGCAAAGGUAGCAAAGGGUGACUCAAUGUUUGUCAUAGUUCGGUGGAGCGUGUGUGGUUAACCGGCACAUCGAAUAGGUGACUGUAACAUGUGGGGGCACCAUGUAGAUUUGCAUGGUUAUUCACACCCGCUUUGUGAUCCUCGGCAUCCCAGUCACAAACUAGAGGGGCAUAUCGAGAUUUAAACAUGCCAUUGAAAAGUUCAAUGAAUCUCAAAAGAUCUAGGAAUUUUCAAUAGAUUUAAAACUUAAAUUUCUUUUUCGUUUUUCUUGGUGGAAAUUAGUGAAUCGUCAUUCACUUGCCUUCAAAUAUUCUGCAACUAGAUUACGACAUCCCUUUUCUAGGUUGUAGUGUAUUGUGUUGGAUCCUAGCCACGAUGUUUCAUUUGGGUGUCACAUUGAGGAUUCUAAUCAACUAACUUGAAUUUGUUUUCUCCUGUUUUGUAGAUGUCAAAGUAUGAUAACUAUGGUAUUCCCAAAUCCCGUGGAACAAGCCUUCCACAUGAAGAUGAUAUUCCACGAUUCGAUCGAGGAACAAGAGAUCAUGCUUCACUUCCUCCACCUCCUCAUAUUAUUCUCCUAACCCAGAAGUUCAAAAGAUUGAAAAGUUCAAACUCACUCAAGCCCUUUUAGCAAGUAAACAUGAAUCAGCAAUGAUUUGGCGCACUGGAAAAGCAAAGUUGAUUGGUGGAUCUGCCUUCCAGACCUCUAUGGAUAUAGGCAACGGCAACAAAAGGCAUGCCAUGAUCGAAAAGUUUGAUUAUAAGAGAGAGGCAAAGUCAAAAGUAGUUCCGUGUGCUGUUCCAAAGAAGUCAAUUUGCUUUUAUUGCCAAGAGAAGGGGCAUUGGAGACGAAGCUGCCCUAUUUACCUAAGAGAUAUAAGAGAUGGGAGAGUCAAUACAUAUGGCUGUAAUUUAGGUAAAAUCCAUUAACUAACUCUUUUAAGUUCCUAUUCUAGAUUCUUAAUACAUUAUGUGAUAAGAUUACAUUUCGAUGUCUUGUAGGAUCGUAGAAAAGAGAGGAAGCUUAAGGAAAGCUUAAUACAUUAUGUGAGCAGAAUCUAAUCGUGAAAAAUGGAUUUCGAUCGCAUUACUUGAAGAUUAGAAUCUUGAGCUACUACUUGGAGUUAGAAUAAGAUUGCUAAGAAAUAUGUAUUAACAUAGUUUUUCAAUUGAAUUGCAUUAUAAGGACAUAUUUUUCCGCAAUAAAAUAAAUUUUGAUUUUAUAUUAUUUAUUUAUCCUUGCAAUGGCGUGUAUGAAAAAUUGAUGUUUGUAAGUUUCUGUUAUUAGCAAUAAUGGAUUUGAUUCUUAAUUAUUUUAAUUGUGGUAAGGUCAAGAAUUUACCAAAUCAGGAAAGUUUCUCAUCGCCCAAGUUUCAAUUGGACAGAAACUUGGAAUCAUACAACUUGGUUGCAUGAUGAAUGAGAAAUUCAUAUUUGAAAAUUAGACUAAUUGGUUGACAAAGUGUCAAGUGAAGGACUAGGUGAUCGAGUACAUAAGGUUGUGUGUUGAUCAAGUCCACCACAAGAGUAACAAAGAUAUUCGUCAUGAUUUACUAAAGUUAAGUAAAUAUGAUUAUACUCAUGAGAUUAAGUGUAAUUCUCAGUUGAUUGAAAGAGUUUAAAUUAAUAGCAGAACGAAUAAGAAGAAUCAAGUAGGCAGAAAGAUAAAAGUUUCUCUAUUCUAAGAAGAAGGGAGAGUACCUUUUAUUAUGUUUUAUGAUAGGUCUUAAUGAUUAUGAACCAUAUCUCAAUUGAUCCUCUAAGUAAGUCUUAGUGCAAUUGUAUGUCUAAGAAGAGGAAUCAAGAAUUAAUGAAAUGGUUAAAUCAAAAAGUCAAUCAUACUUUGUUCCAAAACAAGUCUUAGAGUUAAGAUUGUGACAUUGAGUGACAAUUCUUAAGAAGGUUUAUAACAUUCAUAAAAUGUAGAAUUUGAAAAGGUUUUCUUAUUCUUGCACAUUUGAAAUUGGAAAGUUUUUGAUGUCUUGGAUAAGACAAAGACCAACUAGAACCAAUUUGGUCAAAGUAUUUUGUCUUGAUAAAAGCUACACUAACUCUUGAAUAUUUGUUUAUCAAGAAUUGUUUGUUGACAAGAGAUUCUUAUAUGUCAAGGAGUCAGUGGGAGUCUUAAUGGUCUUGAAAGGUUUCAAGAACUAAUCGAGAAUAAACCUCAUCAGUCAUCACUAGCACAUGAGUUGAGGUUGACAACCUAUCGUGUUAACACUAUCGUGUUUCUGUGCGGUUCCAAUUGAGUUAAUUGUGCAUGUGAGUUCUAUGAGUUCUUGUUUGAACACAUAAAAGGCAAGCACUUUGAUCAAUGAAAAGUACAUUGAUAGGAAAGGGUGAGCUGCUUAACUACUUGGAAGACAUGGUAGGCAGUUGUGUUACCAUAAGGCAAGAGAUCAAGAUUGAGAAGGUUAGGUCCAUAAGAGUUUGGAUUGUUGGAUAAGGUGUCUAAGUCCAUAACUUAUUUGGUACAUACUUGACCUGACCCGGCAUGGUCUAUUUGGGUUGCACUUCACCCAAACGAUUUAUGGAUAAUUUUAUAAGAAUUGUAUACUUACGAUUUAUUAAUAUAUUAUAAGUUAUAAUAUAUUAAUAUGAAGUCAUGUUAUUUAAUUAGUUUUAGUCUUAAAUUAAUUAUGAAUUAAUUUAGAGAUUAAAAAGAAGACUAAUUAAGUUGUGGGCUAUUGUUUUAUAUGGUGUGGGCUAAUACUCAUUAGUUAAUGGGCUAGGCUUAUAUGGAAGUCCAUGGAUGAUCCAUGGAGCUUUUAAACCAUGGAUCCUUGGAAAAGGAAAGGUCAUGGGUUAUUAGGGUUUCACCCUAAUCAUGUACACUAUAUAAGCAUGAUUAUGUUGCAUGAAAUAGCCACUAGUGGCACUAGUUGUGUGAGACUUAGUGGUGGCCGAUUUCAUAAGAAAGUAUACUACUCUCUCAAAGUUUUCCAAGUGUUUGUGGUGAUUUGUGAUUCCAUUUGAGGCAUUCACAUUAUUGGUGCUAGGCUCUCAAACUCCAAGCAAUCAACCACCAUCAAAAGGUAUGUAUUUCUACUAGUAGUUUUAUGAUUCAUAAUCCUUAUGCUAUGCUAGUUAGGAAGAAACCUUGGAAAUUAUUAUUUGCAUGUAUUUUAGAAGAAAACAUAGAUCCAAGGUUUAUUAGGGUUGCAUGCACACUUAGGAAGUGUUAGAUUGCUCAAAACCCAACAGUGGUAUCAGAGCCUAGGCUUGUUUUCUUGAAUACUUGAUGCAAAUUGCUGAAAAUUGAAGUUUAUGUGCUGUCUGCACAGCAGACUCGCCGAGUCCAUGAAGGGACUCGACGAGUCCAAGACAAAAUUCAUCCAACUCGGCGAGUUGGUUCAUGCACUCGACGAGUUGGACCCCCAGACAGCAUAUCUUCGAGUUUUGGUGCUGGAAUUGGUCUAGAAUCAUUACCUUAAACUGUUUUGGACUCAUAAAACCUGUUUUUGAUGUGGUAAUGAUGAUGGUGGACCAAUUUCAAAGUUAUAAUCAAAAUUUCAAGUUUAUAUGUGUUCAUAUGAUUCUUGAAAUUGUUGAUGUGGAUGUUCAUGUUCAUAUGAGUUUUGUUAGAUCAUAGGAAUUAUUUGCAAAUUGUUUGUUAGUUAAUUCUUGAUCUUAAUGUGUUUUAAUGGAAUUCAUAAUUUGUCCUCAAGUUAUGGAAUUCCAAAAGUUUUUUCUUUUAAAUGUUUUUUUUAGAAGUCAUAAGUUACACUUUUGAAGAGUUUUUCUAAUAAAUGCUUUUAUGGACUUCAUAACUUGUCCUCAAGUUAUGGAUUUCCAAGAGACUCUUCAUUAAAAGUUUUAAACACUUAAUUAAAACUCAUAAGUUAUGAAUAUCCAAAAGUUUAUGAAUUGUUCAAAACUUGCCCUCAAGUUUUGGAAUUUGUAAAGUCUCACACAAACUUUAAUUCCAUACCCUAGAAGUUUUAAAAGUUAAAAUUCUACCCUUAUACUAUUAUAAGAUUAAUGGUUAAUUAUUAUAUAUAUGUAUAAGAACAAGUCGUUUUACCGUUAGUAGGCCUCAUUCACGAAGCCGGUCUAUAAGGUGGGUAUAAGGUUGUUGCCUAUAAAAUGGCAACUUAAUGGGUGUCCACUCUCACCCACCGCUUGCUUGACUGGUGGAGGGUCGUUAGCCGAACGGGUAGGACAAUGACUUUAAAUUCUCAUUAAAAGUAUAAUGAUUAUUAUAAAGUAACUAAAUAUUUUUUUUAAUUCCCAAUCUUAGUUACUUUAGGAAAAAUGUGAAUUUGGUGCUAGCCCAUGGAAUUCACACUUUGUACCUUACCAAGUCGUUGGUGGAGCGUGUGUGGUUAACCGGCACACUAACUUGGACUAGUAAGGAUCACGAAGGGUGACUUAAUGUUUGUCAUAGAUCAAUGGAGCGUGUGUGGUUAACCGGCACAUUGAUUGGGUGAUAAUAUUAAGGGUACCAAGUGAAUUGGUAUGGUUAUUCACACCUUGUUUUGUGAUCCUCGGCAUCCCAGUCACAAAAUUUGAGAGGGCACACUCGAGAUUGAAACAUGCCAUUGAAAAGUUCAAUGAAUCUCAAAAGAUCUAGGAAUUUCAAAUCCAAUUAAAACCUAAUAAAUUAUUUCGUUUUUCAUGGUGGAAAUUGGUGAAUCGUCAUUCGCCUACCUUCAAAUAUUUUAUAGCUUGGAUUACGGCAUCCCUCUUCCAAAUUAUAAAAUAUUGUGUUGGGUCCUAGCCUUAAUAUUUCAUAUUGGGUGUUAUAUUAAGGACUUUGAAUCAACUAACUUGAUUUUCUCCCAUUAUAGAUGUCUGGUUCAGACAACUAUGAUCUUCCCAAAUCUCUUGAAGAUGGUGUCCCUCAACAUCAUGCUUCACUUCCUCCACCUCCUCCAAUUAUUCUCCCUCACCCACAAGUUCUUGAAAAGUUUAAAGUCACUCAAUCCCUAUUGGCAAGCAUAGUCUAUGUGUGCUCACAUCUUGGAGAUAAAGUCACAUAUUGACAAGCCGGGAGAGUUGGGUGUCAAAGUCUCGUGAAAGUUGGAUGUUCAAUCACUUUCUUAGUAACAUAGUGAGUCUCUUUGGGACUACUAUGAGACAGACUAUGACAUGACCCUUAAUGAUGUUAUCUAUUUGCUUGGUGUUGUGGAAUCAGCAAUGAUUUGGAACACCAGUAAAGCAAAUUUGAUUAAAAGAACAACUUCCCAAGUCUUAAAUGGACAUUGACAAUGGUAGCAUUGGAUAUCUAGAAAAGGAUUUCUCUUCCCAAUGGAAAGGGAUCGGCCAUAGUCAACUCGGUUGACCAAAUGGUAAAGAGAAAGGCUAAGUCUGAGAUAGUCUCAUGUGCCAUUACCAAAGGGUCCAUGUGUUUUGUUGCCAAAGGAAGGGGCAUUGGUUGCGAAGCUGCCCUAUUCACCUGAAAGGUCAUAAGGUUGAUCAAGUCAAGAGGUUUGACUCUACUUCGGGUAAAGUCCACUGUCUAACUCUAUUAAGUUCCUAUUUGGAGAUUCUUAUUACAUAAUGUGAAUGGGUCACAUGCUGAUGUUUUUAAGAAUCAAAGAAAAGAUAGGAAGCUUAAAGUAAGUAUAUGUUGAUUCUGAUUGCAAAGGUGGGUUUCGAUCGCAUGGUUCGGCAAUCAGAAUUUUGAGCUGUUGCUUAAGAGUUAUAAUAUAUUGCUUAUGAAUAGAUAACAACAAGGUUUUCAUGUGGAUUGUAAGGAUAAGUUUUUCCGCAAAGUUUUAAAAUAAAAGAAAAAAAGGGUUUUAAUUUUAUUUAUUUUAAAAAUAUCCUUACAAUGGCAUCUGUGGAAAAUUGUUGCUUAUAUGUUUCCAGUAAUAGCAAUAUUGGAAAGUGGAUUUGAUUCUUUCAUUUGUGGUAGUGUCUGAAUUUACCAAAUGAAGAAAGUUUUUCAUCACCCAAGUUUCAAUUGGACAGAAACUUGGAAUCAUACAAGUUGUAUUGUAUGAUGAAUGAGAAUUUUCAUCUUUGAAAAUUAAGACUAAUUCUUUGAUCACAUGUAUAUGUGAGUCAAUUGAAGGACUAAGGAAUUAGGUACACUGGGUGUGCGCUGGUCAAGGUCCACCACAAAGAUUGAUUUGUCAUGAUUUACUAAAGAUUAGUAAAUAUGAUUAUACUUAUAAGGUUAAGUAUAAUUCUGUAACAUUGGAAAGGUUACAAUGUAUGACAAAACAAAUGAGAAGAAUCAAAUUAGGCAGAAAGAUAAAAGUUUCUCAAAUCUGAAAGGAUGGGAGAGUACUUUAGUAUCGUAUUUCAUGAUCAUCUUAAUGAUUAUGAAACCAUAUCACAAAUUCAUACUCUAAGGACGUCUUAGUGCAUUGUUAUGGCUAAGAAGAGAGGUCAUGAAUUGUUGGAUUGGUUAAAAUCAAGAAGAUGAGUCAUACUUCGUUCCAAAACAAUUCUUAGAGUCAUACUCCAAGAUUGUAACUUUGAGUGACAUAAAGGAAGAUUUAUUAACACUAGUCAAAUGUAAGAGUAAAAUGUUUUCUACUCUUGUACAUUUGAGAUUGGUAAGUUGUGAUGUCUUGGAUGAGACAAAGACCAACUAAGACCAAUUGUGUGAAGUGUUAGUCUUGAUAAGAAUCCGCACUAUCCCUUGAAUAUUUGUUUUGUCAAGGAAUGGUUCUUGACUGGGGAAACUUAUAUGUCAAGGGGACAGUGGGAGCCUUAAAGAUCCUGAAAGAGUUUCAAGAUUUAAUCAAGAGUAAAACCUGUAAUUUAUCACUAGCACACGACUUAAGGUUUGCAACCUAUCGUGUUGACAUAAUUCUUAUUUCUGUACCUACUUCAAAUAAGUUGAAUUUGCAUGUGAGUUAUCAGAGUUCAACUUGGAAGCAUUGGUGGGCCUUGUGCUACCAAGGUGACAAGAAACUAAGAUUGAACAAGUUUAAUCCAUGUAAGGCUGAAUUUGUCACUAACCUUAUCUUGUGAUUAUGGUUUUGACAAAUUCACAUGGAUAGGAACUCAUACACUAUAAAAUCUAAGUGUCAUAAGGUUUCUCUCCGAUUCAUGAAAAUGAUGGUGAGGAAACGCUUUCACUAAGUAGAUUUUACGUAGAUAUCAAUUGUGUUAUUUGCAUUUUCAAAAGUCGUUAGUGGAGCGCGUGUGGUUAACCGGCACACUAACAUGGACUUGUGAGAAAUGGCAAAUGCCUAAGCAAUUGAGACUAUGAUUACGGCAUCCCUUUUCAUAGUUCUGAAAAUUGUUUAGACACACAUGUGAGCUAUCUAAGAAAGGGUGUAUGAAUCUAAAUUUCAGAAGUCCAACAGAUUUCUGGAAAUGUGUCAGAGCUAGUGGGAGCAUAAGUGUUAUGCUGAUAAUCAUCAUGUUAGUGGGAGCAUGACUAUUAUGAUUAGUAUUGCAAGCUAGCAAUGUUAAUUAUAGAAAACAAAGUUUCAAUCCGUGAAGUUGCAGGGGUUGAAAAGUUGUUUUGCUAUAAUUAAGGGAGAGGAAAUUAUACUUCAUUUCAAUUCUAAAGCUUAGAUUGAGAUUUUAAUCAUCUUUAGUCAAGAAUAUAUAUAUGAAUUUUAUGUCGGAAUGGUUCAACUUGAAGAAAUUCUAUAUAUAUUGCGUUUUCAAAAUUCGAUUAUGAUUACGGCAUCCCUCUUCAUAGUUAAAUUUUGAAAACAUGGCAAAUAAAAAAUAUUGUAGCAAAAGACUGGUCUAGUAUCAUGUCUUUAUGUCAAACAUCAUGAAUCGUGUCCCAUAUGCUUCGGAUAUAGGAUCGAUUUCAUGUGCUAUAAUAUUCAUCCUUUCUAAAUUUUCCAAAUGCUUAAGGCAUUUAGAAGGGAAAAGUCUAGAACUGGAUAUGACUAAAGUGAUUAAGCAAUUGUCGAGGACAAUCUGAGGUUCGCCAAAGAUUGGUUGCUCAGGGACAUUUGGAAGUCUAGUGUUAAUUUUGGUAGGACCAUAUCGACAUUUUCUGAAAAGAGGUAACUCUUGUUCGGAAGUGAUAGUCAAAUAGGACUAUGGAAAUGUCUCCAUAGGUGGAAGUGAUUCAAUCUAUGUAAGAUUAGGAAACUUAAUGCAAAAAGGAUGUUCCCAAGGAGCUGAUCUCCUUUGGAAUGCUCUGUAAUGGUUGUUGUCAAGUCUUUCUGACUUUGUGCAUAAUCAUUACAAGAGGAUCAAUGCAUAUAAGUUUAGAAUCUAAC